GACGCACGCUGGCGGCGUGCUUAACAAAUGCAAGUCGAACGAAGUGGCGAACGGGUGGGUAAUACGUGGGUAACCUGCCCUCCUUUUUGGGAUAAGCCUUGGAAACGGGGUCUAAUACCGAAUAAAGGGGGAUGGGCUCGCGGCCUAUCAGCUUGUUGGUGGGGUGAUGGCCUACGACGGCGGGGACGGGUAGCCGGCCUGAGAGGGUGACCGUCCACAUUGGGGCUGAGAUACGGCCCAGACUCCGACGGUAGGCAGCAGUGGGGGAUAUUGCACAAUGGGCGAAAGCCUGAUGCAGCGACGCCGCGUGGGGGAUGAAGGCUUUCGGGUUGUAAACCUCUUUCGCUCUCGAACGGGUAGGUGGAGAAGAAGCGCCGGCUAACUACGUGCCAGCCGCCGCGGUGAUUC
rnacentral:rRNA from 1 species